CCUACGGGAGGCAGCAGUGAGGAAUAUUGGACAAUGGGCGCAAGCCUGAUCCAGCCAUGCCGCGUGCAGGAUGACGGUCCUAUGGAUUGUAAACUGCUUUUAUACGAGAAGAAACACUACUUCGUGAAGUAGCUUGACGGUAUCGUAAGAAUAAGGAUCGGCUAACUCCGUGCCAGCAGCCGCGGUAAUACGGAGGAUCCAAGCGUUAUCCGGAAUCAUUGGGUUUAAAGGGUCCGUAGGCGGUUUAAUAAGUCAGUGGUGAAAGCCCAUCGCUCAACGGUGGAACGGCCAUUGAUACUGUUAGACUUGAAUUAUUAGGAAGUAACUAGAAUAUGUAGUGUAGCGGUGAAAUGCUUAGAGAUUACAUGGAAUACCAAUUGCGAAGGCAGGUUACUACUAAUAUAUUGACGCUGAUGGACGAAAGCGUGGGUAGCGAACAGGAUUAGAUACCCUGGUAGUCCACGACCGUAAACGAUGGAUACUAGCUGUUGGAAGCAAUUUCAGUGGCUAAGCGAAAGUGAUAAAGUAUCCCACCGUGGGGAGUAACGGUUCGCAAGAAUAGAAACUUACAAAUUGAAUUGACGG
rnacentral:rRNA from 1 species